rnacentral:lncRNA from 1 species
AGAUGUUUAAACCUCAGACAGGAUGGGGCUGGGGCUGGGCCAACAACUUGCUCAACAUUCUUCUGAGUCUGACGGGCUGGUGGAGUGUGAGCGUGGCUCCUAAAUUUCUUGGGUAGGACUGAAGAAGCACUUUUAAGAUGUGGAAACUCAGAGAGGAUGCCACUGUUUUGAACUAUUUUGAAGGCACAGCCACCAGAGCUUUAGGUGAGUGACUCUAUGCUUAUAGGCCCAAAUGUAUCUUCACCCCCUCUCACUCCCUGCGCUGUACAGUUUCCCAUUACCCAACAUGCACUUCUGUUAGCAGCUGACUCUUUCCUAAACCUAUUCCUCCAGGGACUUACUUAGCUAGACAACCAGCUUUUCAGUUUCUUCCUUAUUUUCCUACCUAACUUUAUUAAAUUAAAUUGUUUAUUUUUUGAGACAGGGUCUCACCUUGUAGCCCUGAAUGACUUGGAAUUUGCUGUGUAGACCAGGUUGGCUUUGAACUCACAAUUCUCCAUCUGCCUCUGUUCCCAAAUGCUGGGAUUAACAGUCUAUGUCACACAUACCUAGUCUUCCUUCCUAGCUUUCUAUUUUCAGGAAAUGUCUCUUGGGACUCAGUCUAUCAAGACAGGGGUGGAAGUGGAGCUGGCCAGUGGAGUGUUGGGACAAAGCUCUGAGUGGAGCCCUCGAGUUUAAAACGGAAUCUUAGAGAGGACGUGUUUACUCCUGCAUUAUAGAGCACGGACGCUCAUGACUCAGUUUGAUUUUCAUACACCGUUCUGCUCAUCACUGCCAAGUGGAGCAAUCCAGGCCUCUCAAAAUGUGCCAUACUACCUUCCAGCUAAAAGCUUUCUGUGGGGCUGGCGAGAUGGCUCAGCGGGUAAGAGCACCCGAUUGCUCUUCCGAAGGUCCAGAGUUCAAAUCCCAG